rnacentral:rRNA from 1 species
GAAACUCCGGUUCCCGUACGAUCACCGAAGUUAAGCAACGUCGAGCCUGGUCAAUACCUAGACGGGUAACCGCUUGAGAAUUCCAGGUGCUGUAAG